GGAUCCAGACUUUGAUCAUGGCUCCUUAUGAACGCUAGCUACAGGCUUAACACAUGCAAGUCGAGGGGAAACGAUAUUGGAAGCUUGCUUCCGAUAGGCGUCGACCGGCGCACGGGUGAGUAACGCGUAUCCAACCUGCCCAUCACUUGGGGAUAACCUUGCGAAAGUAAGACUAAUACCCAAUGAUAUCCGUCGAAGACAUCUGAAGUGGAUUAAAGAUUCAUCGGUGAUGGAUGGGGAUGCGUCUGAUUAGCUUGUUGGCGGGGUAACGGCCCACCAAGGCGACGAUCAGUAGGGGUUCUGAGAGGAAGGUCCCCCACAUUGGAACUGAGACACGGUCCAAACUCCUACGGGAGGCAGCAGUGAGGAAUAUUGGUCAAUGGACGAGAGUCUGAACCAGCCAAGUAGCGUGCAGGAUGACGGCCCUAUGGGUUGUAAACUGCUUUUAUAAGGGAAUAAAGUGGGAGUCGUGACUCCUUUUGCAUGUACCUUAUGAAUAAGGACCGGCUAAUUCCGUGCCAGCAGCCGCGGUAAUACGGAAGGUCCGGGCGUUAUCCGGAUUUAUUGGGUUUAAAGGGAGCGUAGGCCGGAGAUUAAGCGUGUUGUGAAAUGUAGAUGCUCAACAUCUGCACUGCAGCGCGAACUGGUUUCCUUGAGUACGCACAAAGUGGGCGGAAUUCGUGGUGUAGCGGUGAAAUGCUUAGAUAUCACGAAGAACUCCGAUUGCGAAGGCAGCUCACUGGAGCGCAACUGACGCUGAAGCUCGAAAGUGCGGGUAUCGAACAGGAUUAGAUACCCUGGUAGUCCGCACGGUAAACGAUGGAUGCCCGCUGUUGGUCUGAAUAGGUCAGCGGCCAAGCGAAAGCAUUAAGCAUCCCACCUGGGGAGUACGCCGGCAACGGUGCAACUCAAGGGAAUUGACGG
rnacentral:rRNA from 1 species